UACAGAGGUGCCGAGCGUUAGGCGGAAUCACUGGGCUUAAAGCGUGUGUAGGCGGACUUCUAAGUACCUUGUGAAAUCCCACGGCUCACCCGUGGAACUGCUGGGUAUACUGGUCGUCUUGAGCCACCUAGGGGCCAGCGGAACAAAUGGUGGAGCGGUGAAAUGCGUAGAUAUCAUUUGGAACGCCAACGGUGAAAACAGCUGGCUGGGGGUGUGCUGACGCUGAGACACGAAAGCCAGGGGAG
rnacentral:rRNA from 1 species